GGGAAAUGGAGCAAUCUAUCCUGGAUGUCCUGGUUUCCAGGUUCCAAUCGAAGACUAAGCUGCGAUCAGUGAUGAGUUACAGCAUCUGAGGAUCGACGUGUAGCGGGCGUCGAGGUCGACGUAUCAACGGGGAGGAUAUCGAGCUUCCGCCGCGACAGCAAUUCGUCGAUAUUCGACGGUCUCGCGGCCCAAUUAUCGAGCUGAAAGUGAACCGUCGUAAAACACCGCGGCCGCCCGGCGGCCGCGUACCGCCUGCCUGCCAGACGGCACGGCUGGACCGCCGCCGGAGGAGACGAAGAAGGUUCCUCGUCGUCGUCGAUGGUGUCCCGGGUGCUCUCCUCGCGAGCCGCACGCUGCACGCUGCACGCACCCGCAGGCGACGAUACGCGACGGACUCUCAGAUCUCUCGGAUUGCACUCUCUAACAUUAAAACGUACCUAUACGUACCUGUUAAUAAACGAAUCGUAAUAACCUAAUAAUUAAGUACAUACUUACUUACUGAUUUACUAUACGAUAAUGUAUUAUUUUAUAAUAUACCAUCAUGUAGAAUAAUAAAAUACCACAAUAUACAUACUUAGAUACA